rnacentral:rRNA from 1 species
GAUGAACGCUGGCGGCGUGCCUAAUACAUGCAAGUCGAGCGAACGGACGAGAAGCUUGCUUCUCUGAUGUUAGCGGCGGACGGGUGAGUAACACGUGGAUAACCUACCUAUAAGACUGGGAUAACUUCGGGAAACCGGAGCUAAUACCGGAUAAUAUUUUGAACCGCAUGGUUCAAAAGUAAAAGACGGUCUUGCUGUCACUUAUAGAUGGAUCCGCGCUGCAUUAGCUAGUUGGUAAGGUAACGGCUUACCAAGGCAACGAUGCAUAGCCGACCUGAGAGGGUGAUCGGCCACACUGGAACUGAGACACGGUCCAGACUCCUACGGGAGGCAGCAGUAGGGAAUCUUCCGCAAUGGGCGAAAGCCUGACGGAGCAACGCCGCGUGAGUGAUGAAGGUCUUCGGAUCGUAAAACUCUGUUAUUAGGGAAGAAUAUAUGUGUAAGUAGCUGUGCACAUCUUGACGGUACCUAAUCAGAAAGCCACGGCUAACUACGUGCCAGCAGCCGCGGUAAUACGUAGGUGGCAAGCGUUAUCCGGAAUUAUUGGGCGUAAAGCGCGCGUAGGCGGUUUUUUAAGUCUGAUGUGAAAGCCCACGGCUCAACCGUGGAGGGUCAUUGGAAACUGGAAAACUUGAGUGCAGAAGAGGAAAGUGGAAUUCCAUGUGUAGCGGUGAAAUGCGCAGAGAUAUGGAGGAACACCAGUGGCGAAGGCGACUUUCUGGUCUGUAACUGACGCUGAUGUGCGAAAGCGUGGGGAUCAAACAGGAUUAGAUACCCUGGUAGUCCACGCCGUAAACGAUGAGUGCUAAGUGUUAGGGGGUUUCCGCCCCUUAGUGCUGCAGCUAACGCAUUAAGCACUCCGCCUGGGGAGUACGACCGCAAGGUUGAAACUCAAAGGAAUUGACGGGGACCCGCACAAGCGGUGGAGCAUGUGGUUUAAUUCGAAGCAACGCGAAGAACCUUACCAAAUCUUGACAUCCUUUGACAACUCUAGAGAUAGAGCCUUCCCCUUCGGGGGACAAAGUGACAGGUGGUGCAUGGUUGUCGUCAGCUCGUGUCGUGAGAUGUUGGGUUAAGUCCCGCAACGAGCGCAACCCUUAAGCUUAGUUGCCAUCAUUAAGUUGGGCACUCUAAGUUGACUGCCGGUGACAAACCGGAGGAAGGUGGGGAUGACGUCAAAUCAUCAUGCCCCUUAUGAUUUGGGCUACACACGUGCUACAAUGGACAAUACAAAGGGCAGCGAAACCGCGAGGUCAAGCAAAUCCCAUAAAGUUGUUCUCAGUUCGGAUUGUAGUCUGCAACUCGACUACAUGAAGCUGGAAUCGCUAGUAAUCGUAGAUCAGCAUGCUACGGUGAAUACGUUCCCGGGUCU